rnacentral:rRNA from 1 species
AGUGAACGCUGGCGGUAGGCCUAACACAUGCAAGUCGAACGGCAGCACAGUAAGAGCUUGCUCUUACGGGUGGCGAGUGGCGGACGGGUGAGGAAUACAUCGGAAUCUACUUUUUCGUGGGGGAUAACGUAGGGAAACUUACGCUAAUACCGCAUACGACCUACGGGUGAAAGCAGGGGAUCUUCGGACCUUGCGCGAUUGAAUGAGCCGAUGUCGGAUUAGCUAGUUGGCGGGGUAAAGGCCCACCAAGGCGACGAUCCGUAGCUGAUCUGAGAGGAUGAUCAGCCACACUGGAACUGAGACACGGUCCAGACUCCUACGGGAGGCAGCAGUGGGGAAUAUUGCACAAUGGGCGAAAGCCUGAUCCAGCCAUACCGCGUGAGUGAAGAAGGCCUUCGGGUUGUAAAACCCUUUUGUUAGGAAAGAAAAGCAGCAGGUUAAUACCCCGCUGUUCUGACGGUACCCAAAGAAUAAGCACCGGCUAACUUCGUG